UACGAAGGGGGCUAGCGUUGCUCGGAAUGACUGGGCGUAAAGGGCGCGUAGGCGGCUUGCACCGUCAGAUGUGAAAUUCCUGGGCUUAACCUGGGGGCUGCAUUUGAUACGUGUGGGCUUGAGUGCGGAAGAGGGUCGUGGAAUUCCCAGUGUAGAGGUGAAAUUCGUAGAUAUUGGGAAGAACACCGGUGGCGAAGGCGGCGACCUGGUCCGUGACUGACGCUGAGGCGCGAAAGCCAGGGGAGCAAACGGG
rnacentral:rRNA from 1 species